GAAAUGCGAUAAGUAAUGUGAAUUGCAGAAUUCAGUGAAUCAUCGAAUCUUUGAACGCACCUUGCGCUCCUUGGUAUUCCUUGGAGCAUGCCUGUUUUAGUAUCAUGAAAUCUUCAAAGUAAAUCUUUUGUUAACUCAAUUGGUUUCUACUUUGGUAUUGGAGGUCUUUGCAGCUUCACACCUGCUCCUCUUUGUUCAUUAGCUGGAUCUCAGUGUUAUGCUUGGUUCCACUCGGCGUGAUAAGUUAUCUAUCGCUGAGGACACUGUAAAAGGUGGCCAAGGUAAAUGCAGAUGAACCGCUUCUAAUAGUCCAUUGACUUGGACAAUACUUUUAUGAUCUGAUCUCAAAUCAGGUAGGACUACCCGCUGAACUUAAAC
rnacentral:misc_RNA from 1 species